GACGAACGCUGGCGGCGUGCCUAAUACAUGCAAGUAGAACGCACAGUUUAUACCGUAGCUUGCUACACCAUAGACUGUGAGUUGCGAACGGGUGAGUAACGCGUAGGUAGCCUGCCUGGUAGCGGGGGAUAACUAUUGGAAACGAUAGCUAAUACCGCAUAAUAUUAAUUAUUGCAUGAUAAUUAAUUGAAAGGUGCAAUUGCACCACUACCAGAUGGACCUGCGUUGUAUUAGCUAGUAGGUGAGGUAACGGCUCACCUAGGCGACGAUACAUAGCCGACCUGAGAUGGUGAUCGGCCACACUGGGACGGAGACACGGCCCAGACUCCUACGGGAGGCAGCAGUAGGGAAUCUUCGGCAAUGGACGAAAGUCUGACCGAGCAACGCCGCGUGAGUGAAGAAGGUUUUCGGAUCGUAAAGCUCUGUUGUAAGAGAAGAACGGGUGUGAGAGUGGAAAGUUCACACUGUGACGGUAUCUUACCAGAAAGGGACGGCUAACUACGUG
rnacentral:rRNA from 1 species